rnacentral:rRNA from 1 species
GUGUCAGCAGCCGCGGUAAUACAGAGGGGGCUAGCGUUAUUCGGAAUUAUUGGGCGUAAAGGGCGCGUAGGCGGCCUUGCGUGUCUUCCGUGAAAUCCCUCGGCUCAACUGAGGACGUGCGGAAGAAACUGCGAGGCUCGAGUCCGGGAGAGGAGGGUGGAAUUCCCAGUGUAGCGGUGAAAUGCGUAGAUAUUGGGAGGAACACCGGUGGCGAAGGCGGCCCUCUGGACCGGUACUGACGCUGAUGCGCGAAAGCGUGGGGAGCAAACGGGAUUAGAUACCCCCGUAGUCC